GNUGAACGCUGNCGGCGCGCCUAACACAUGCAAGUCGAAUGGUUAAAGCACCUUUUUAGGUGUGUAUAAAGUGGCGAACGGCUGAGUAACACGUGGGCAACCUGCCCUCCUCUUGGGGAUAGCCUCGGGAAACCGAGGAUAAUACCCGAUACUUCAAUGUGGCCGCAUGACGACAUUGAGAAAGCUUUUGCGGAGAAGGAUGGGCCCGCGGCCUGUUAGCUUGUUGGUGGGGUAGAGGCCUACCAAGGCAAUGAUGGGUAGCUGGGUUGAGAGACCGACCAGCCAGAUUGGGACUGAGACACGGCCCAGACUCCUACGGGAGGCAGCAGUGGGGAAUCUUGCACAAUGGGCGAAAGCCUGAUGCAGCGACGCCGCGUGCGGGAAGAAGGCCUUCGGGUUGUAAACCGCUUUCAGCAGGGACGAGGCGAUAAGUGACGGUACCUGCAGAAGAAGCCCCGGCUAACUACGUGCCAGCAGCCGCGGUAAUACGUAGGGGGCAAGCGUUAUCCGGAUUCAUUGGGCGUAAAGCGCUCGUAGGCGGUCUGUUAGGUCGGGAGUUAAAUCCGGAGGCUCAACCUCCGCCCGCUCCCGAUACCGGCAGACUUGAGUUUGGUAGGGGAAGGUGGAAUUCCUAGUGUAGCGGUGGAAUGCGCAGAUAUUAGGAAGAACACCAGUGGCGAAGGCGGCCUUCUGGGCCAUAACUGACGCUGAGGAGCGAAAGCUAGGGGAGCAAACAGG
rnacentral:rRNA from 1 species